GGCCGCCCGGGCUGGUGGAGCCUCCCGCACCCCAGAAGCACGGGGCGAGCGGGAGGUGGGUGCUUGCCGGCAGCUGGGCUGGCUCAUGGCCCCGCAGUGCAGCGCGUCCCCAUCGCGGCGGCGACGGGCCGGAUCCAGGGCAGUUACCAUGGCGCCUGCAAGCAAGGAGCUGUUGCUCCUUCGCAGGAGAGAUGCGGGCUGCGCGUGCAGAUGUGCCGCGGCAGCCGGCGACCGCAGAGCUCCCGGGAGGCUGCCUCGAAACGCGGCCGUGAAGCGGGAAAGCGUGGACAAGCCCUGCCGGAGAGCAGGGCCGGAGCUGGCGAUGGCCGCAAAGGUAGCGGCGUCUCUGUGGCCGUUUCGGUUGGACCAGUUGGGGCCACGUUAGUGCGAGGGGGUGAAUUUCCAGCGGAGCACGAGCGCCUUGGCCCCCUGCUCCAGGCUGUGGGACCCUCACGGCUGGACAGCCGCGGGCUGGCACCCGGCACGGCGAGGGACGCACUGCCGCGCGAGGGGGUUCAGAUCCCUGGGGUUAUUCCGUGGCUCCCGUUGGAAAUCCCUGUCUGCAGACCAGAGCAACCGAUAGCGUUGCUGCCGGCAGUGCAGCGCUGGUGCAGCGUCCUGGCUCCUCACAGCCUCUCUGGAAAGUAUUAAAAGUUGGAGGCACAUGUUUCACAGGCCAAACGCAGGCCCUUUCCCAUAGAAGGGAAAACUCCCACUGAAGCGUGACCGCUGUGCUUGGCCGUGGCCGCUCCGCCACAACGGCCUGGUCCACCCGCCUCCGGCCAGCUCGCGUGCGCCGGACACAGCUGGCGACCGCCGGGCUUGGCUGCUGCGGCUGCGCAAGGUGGGAUUUUCAACAACUGCAGCGUUUAGCAGUGGAAAAAGCAACUUCUUGAAAAUGAGUGGAGAAGGAUGUUAUUUGCAUCAGCAGUGGUAGCCAAAAAAAAAAGAAAAAAAAGAAAAAUGAAGGCUCCAUGGCUGUUGCUGCUACUUCUCCCCGGUCUGGGGUUGCUAACUUAAAUCAUGCUGAAGCAGGUGUUUGGAUACGGGGAAAGCAAAGGAUGCCAUAGCCUCCUGCCUGCCCCGGGAGCACCGGUGUCUGAGAGCUGGGAAUUUGGACCGGUCCCAGGCGACUGACACAGCUUGCAGCCACCGAAGCCGGUUUCUGAUGCUUCCCUGAGGCUGAGUCUUUCCCGGCUGCACACGAGGGCCGUGGCACCACGAGUGCCUCCGCAAACCGCCGGGCAACGGCCUGGGCAGCACCGAGCAGGGGCAAAGCAAUGCUCCCAGGCGCGAGCUGAGCGUGCCCUGCUCUGCCCCGGCACGGCCGAGCCCCGUCCGACCGUUUGUUUUCCCCUUUAUUUUCCAGGUGGGAAGCGGCUCAGUCAGCUCAGGCAUCAUCUCUGCACCCUGAGCAGGGCGAGCGGCGCUCCGGCUGGGAGGGGAGGGAGGAGGAGGAGGGCAGCCAGCGCGGCGGCUCGAGCAUCCCCCUCGCUGCCGCCCCUGCCGCAGGAGCCGGGUUGCCCCGGGGAGCCCAGCAGCCUCUGCCCCAGCGGCUCCUCGCCCACCAUGCUGGAUAUUUUCAUCCUGAUGUUCUUCGCCAUCAUCGGCCUGGUGAUUCUCUCCUACAUCAUCUACAUGCUGUAGCGCGAUGCUGGGGAGGACGCGGCUCCGCAGCGGCCCGUCACUCCGGGCAUCGUCCAGCAGCAGCCGCCGCCCGGUCCGUCUCUCCUGGAGCCUUCUGGAAAAGCAUUAACCCGUUGGAGCCGACGUCUCUCCCAGCCGGAGACUGGGGACACCCAGGACGAGCAGCUCCGGGCGGGCGCCAGUGCCAGGCGCGAUGCGCUGGUGGCGGGGGCUGAGCCGGGGCGGCGGCGGGGUGACAGGGGGCCGGGAAAGCGCUGGGCAGCGACGUCCCGCGGCCGAGCUGCUCCCCAGGACGCGCAGGCUGCUCCACCGGGGACGUAGCGGGUCCUGCCCCAGCCACGUGCGUUAGCCCCUUGGGAUAAGCACUUCCGAGGUUGCGUUGUUUGGUUUUAACUUUAGAAAGCACUUAUAUUUUUAAUGCAAACUGUCCGAGGAAAGGGAAUAAAAAGAGGGAUGACACCAAA